UGCCGGGUGGUGUAAUUGGCAACACGUCUGGCUCUGAACCAGAAGACUCUAGGUUCGAUUCCUAGCCCGGCAGCCA
rnacentral:tRNA from 1 species